GAAAAAAAAACAUUCUUUAUAUUUUGAAGUCUUAUAUGAUUAUAUACAGGUUAUACAGAAUUGAACGUUCAGACGCCUAUUUACAGAAAGAUCUAAAGUUCAGGAAGCUGCUUCUAUAUAUUUUAGAACAAGUCUAAAUUGUGAUGAUCAUAAAAAGUGACGUGGUGUUUUCAACCAAUCAAGUUAUUUAGGGUUCACUUAUCUCAUCAUGAUUUUUAAAAAUAUUUUUACCAUUCUUUUCUUUCAGAAAAAAGAUAUAAUUGAUUAGACAUAAAUAAUGUGGUAUUAUUGUUA
rnacentral:lncRNA from 1 species